rnacentral:rRNA from 1 species
AUUGAACGCUGGCGGCAGGCCUAACACAUGCAAGUCGAGCGGAUGAAGGGAGCUUGCUCCUGGAUUCAGCGGCGGACGGGUGAGUAAUGCCUAGGAAUCUGCCUGGUAGUGGGGGAUAACGUCCGGAAACGGGCGCUAAUACCGCAUACGUCCUGAGGGAGAAAGUGGGGGAUCUUCGGACCUCACGCUAUCAGAUGAGCCUAGGUCGGAUUAGCUAGUUGGUGGGGUAAAGGCCUACCAAGGCGACGAUCCGUAACUGGUCUGAGAGGAUGAUCAGUCACACUGGAACUGAGACACGGUCCAGACUCCUACGGGAGGCCGCAGUGGGGAAUAUUGGACAAUGGGCGAAAGCCUGAUCCAGCCAUGCCGCGUGUGUGAAGAAGGUCUUCGGAUUGUAAAGCACUUUAAGUUGGGAGGAAGGGCAGUAAGUUAAUACCUUGCUGUUUUGACGUUCCAACAGAAUAAGCACCGGCUAACUUCGUG